GUCCACUGAGAGCGCAACGUUUGUUUUCGAAUCUCUAAUAAGUUAAACACGUGUUUUCUCUUCUAAUUUCAAAUCCUAGUGGAUAAGAUAUCAUCAUCGUUCGAUAGUUAUCGUUAAGUGUAAUAAAUGAACUGUUUCGAAGCAAGAAAAAAAUUAAUUUCGAAUAAUCUCACGUGGAAAAGUGUUAAAGCGAUCUCUUACGAUCUUGUGUACGUUUCGCGUGUCAAAGUAUGUGUGACAAAUUAUUGGGAAUUUACUCGAAAUAUAUCGAUGCACGGAAAGAUCGUAAAAUCGUUAUUAUGAGCACGAGUCUUAACGUUGGAGCCUCGGGAGCGUUAUGGGAUCGUUAGACAACUCGUCGGCCGGUGAAGAAAGGACGACAAGAAUGUCCUGCGAGAAGGCAUCACGACGCCUGAGAUAUCUGAUAGCAAAGGCCAAAAGAUUGGGUCUAACACCGAAGGAAGUCGCGGAGUUACCGGCGAUAAAGAGACUCGUACCGGGACGCGUUAUGUCGACCACGAGGACGACAUUAUUUAUGAUCGUCCUGAUCCUUGGAGGAAGCCUUAUACUUGCUUUCCUUUGUGCCCCUUGCAUCGCCAGAAGCAGAACCUGAGGAAGGAAGAAUACGCUACUACACCGCUAACUCGAGGACGUCUAUGAGAUCUACGAUUCUUUGGAAACUAAAUAUGCUCGUCGUGUAUCCUACACGAUUUUAUUUCAAAAGCGUAUAAAAAAAAAUAUAUAUAUAUAAUAAAAAAUAAAAAAGAAAGGAAAAGAAAAAUCUCUUACGAACGCUAAUGUGACGUUAAGAAAUCGGUGAUAAAUGAGUGACCGUGACGAAGGUAGAACGAUCUUUAUCCCACGGACUAACAAAUUGAUCGGAGGUGUGAAUCGUGGUGAUACUAGAUAUAUAAUACUUGGUAGUUACAUUGUAAACAAAAGGAUAUAAGCAGAAAGACAGUUCCUUAUUGUGUUAUAACUCGGUUGCUUUUCUCUUACGCUUCUCAUCUUUCUUUUCCUUUUGUCUUUUUUUUUGCUCUCUCUCUCUCUCUCUCUCUCUCUCUCUCUCUCUCUCUCUCUCUCUCUCUUUCUCAAAUUAUAAAGAAACUUUUUAUCAAAGUAAAGGAGUGUACCAGAAGGAGUAUGUCUUUCAUUUUACUUCAUAUAUUUUUUAUUUUUUAUUUUUUUUUUAUUUCUUUUUCAUAGAUAUACUUGCCAGGUUAGUUUAAGUGUAAUACGUGGUGUAGCAUAAAAGUAAUGCGAGAUUUAUAACGUAUAAAAUUUUACCGUAAACUUUUUAUAAUUCUAGGAUUUUCAUUUUUACGAAAACAAAUAAACAUUUACGCGUAUGCGAAUGUUUCUAAAAGGCUAGAAUUCUGUUAGAAAACGUCGGUUAAUUUACCGUAAACGUUAGGUAUAAAUAAGCAACAAUCAGUAAUUAAUAUCACAAUAAAUCAACGUACAUUAAAUACUAUAGAAAAUCCAACUAAAUUCAUUAUCGCCUUUAACAAAAUUAAUCCAAUUACUUUUACGCCACAUCGCAUAUCUGCGUUAUUUAUGUUACAUUUGAAAAUGAGAGCAUCGAUAAAUUGGACAAUAUAAUUGUAUAAGUAUAAACGUGUUUCUCCGGGAGUAAUGUCAAUGAUUCGCCCGUGUAUGAUUCGACUAAUUGAAAAAAAAAAAGAAAAAAGAAAAAAAAAAGAAAAAAAAGAAAAAGAAAAAAAAAAGUACCUAUCCAAUUGAAUUGUAUAACGCUAAUUAGGAUUUCGCUCGAACCGUACCAAUGAUUUUCGAACGUUUUAUCGGAGUCGUGUGAAACUUUACUUUUAUAUGUGAUCAAAUAAAUUUUUAGGAAACUCAAAAAAGAUCUUAUAUUUAUUUCCUAUUUGCUUUGACCUACAUUAAUAACCUUGGACGAAGUAAACACAUUUUUUUCAAUACUUUCCAUGAGAAAAAAAAGGACAAAAUAAAAAUUAAAAGAUAUUAUUAAACAUGUAAAAAUAUUAAGUUUAACGAUCGAACAUUUUUUUCUGUUUACAUUACAUGCAAGCUGUUAUUUUAUUGUGAAAUAAUGAACUCUCUUUAUCAC